GCCUGGCUGGCUCAGUUGGUAGAGCAUCUGCCUCUUGAUCUUGGGAUUGUGAGUUCAAGCCUCACGUUGGGUG
rnacentral:tRNA from 1 species